CAGUCGCCGCGGGAAUACGUAGGUGGCAAGCGUUGUCCGGAUUUAUUGGGCGUAAAGCGAGCGCAGGCGGUCAAUUAAGUCUGAUGUGAAAGCCCCCGGCUCAACCGGGGAGGGUCAUUGGAAACUGGUUGACUUGAGUGCAGAAGAGGAGAGUGGAAUUCCAUGUGUAGCGGUGAAAUGCGUAGAUAUAUGGAGGAACACCAGUGGCGAAGGCGACUCUCUGGUCUGUAACUGACGCUGAGGAGCGAAAGCGUGGGGAGCGAACAGGAUUAGAUACCCCAGUAGUCCCUGUCUCUUAUAC
rnacentral:rRNA from 1 species